rnacentral:miRNA from 1 species
UUCUGAUAGACACCGGCUCUGC